AGAAGCAAGCUGGUAGGGGCUGGCAGAGGGUACAACAGGGGAGUAUGAUCUACUUGGGGGCCAGAGACGGUUCCCUGAGGAAAUAGUACCUGAACUUAGACUUGAAGGAUAAUAGAUGUUAACUGGGAGGAGAGAAUGUUCCAGGCAGAAGAAAAGGCAUAUGCAAAAGCCCAGCGCCUUGAAGGAGCACAGCUGGGGUGCCUGGAGUGAGAUGGAGCUGGAAAGAUCCAGGUGGAGCUUGACCUGAAGUACCAGCCCCCAGAGGGCGCUAUUGGAGCCUGGUCAGAGGAGGAGUUUGGGGCACCCAUCCAGGACAGCUUGGAGUUAAUCGUCCCCAAUGUGGGCUUCCAGGAACUGGAGCCUGGGGAGGCCCAGCUGGAGCGGCGGGCAGUGGCUCUAGGCUGCAGGCUAGCUCGAAGCCUAGGCCAGCAGGACGAUGAGGAGAAUGAGCUGGAGCUUGAGCUGGAGCAGGACCUGGAUGAUGAGCCUGACGUGGAACUUUCUGGUCUUAUGUUCAGCCCCCUCAAGAGCCGCACCAGGGCUCUGGCCCAUGGGGAUCCCUUCCAGGUGUCCAGAGCUCAAGACUUCCAGGUGGGAGUCACAGUGCUGGAAGCCCAGAAACUGGUUGGAGUCAACAUUAACCCCUAUGUGGCCGUGCAAGUGGGGGGGCAGCGCCGUGUGACCGCCACACAGCGUGGGACCAGUUGCCCCUUCUACAAUGAGUACUUCUUGUUCGAAUUUCAUGACACAUGGCUUCGCCUCCAAGACUUGCUGCUGGAGAUCACGGUGAGUGGGGUAGGGAUGACCAGUGUCCUUCAGAGAAGGGGGGAUGCGAAAGCUGCAGGACUAACACCACCUUCCCCCCAGGCUUUCCAUUCGCAGACCCUCCCCUUUAUGGCCACCCGGAUAGGCACCUUCAGGAUGGACCUGGGCAUCAUCUUGGACCAGCCAGGUAUGGAAUCGUCCCCUUAUUGAGACUCUGCACGGACAAGGGCCCUAGAGAUUGACCCCAAGGUGACUCCGCAUGGACCCCUAUACACUCACUUCGGAGAGGGCCAUCUCUUGGCGGAGGCGAACUCUUGGCACUUCCGCCCCUCCCUGCUGAGCCAGAGAAGCCCUGGCCAUUGUCCGUCACUCCGAUGACAGCCUCACGGCCACCCUGUGCGCCCCGCCGGUCGCCCCUUACCCCUGGCUCGCCCCUUCGCCCUUAGAUGGCCAAUUCUACCAAAGAUGGGCUCCGCUGCAUGAUCCCCAGGACACCCGCGCCGGGACCAAGGGUUUCGUUAAGGUCACCUUGUCCGUGAGGGCGCGCGGGGACCUGCCCCCUCCAAUGCUACCCCCGGCCCCAGGGCACUGUUCGGACAUCGAGAAGUGAGCCGGGGUGAAGUGGGGAGGGGGACAUGGAUCCGAGUGGGUGGCCGUGGGGCGCGGAUAAGGGGAGGGGCCGAGAUCCCAGUUUCUCCCCCCAGCUCGAUGCCCCCUCCCCUAGGAACCUGCUCCUGCCGCGCGGGGUGCCCGCCGAGAGGCCGUGGGCGCGGCUCCGCGUGCGCCUGUACCGCGCCGAGGGGCUUCCUGCGCUGCGCCCGGGGCUGCUGGGCAGCCUGGCUCGCGCCCUGCACGACCAGCGCGUCCUGGUGGAGCCCUAUGUGCAGGUGUCUUUCCUGGGGCAGGAGGGCGAGACGUCGGUGCGCGCCGAGGCGGCGGCGCCCGAGUGGAACGAGCAGCUGAGCUUCGUGGAGCUCUUCCCGCCGCUGACGCGCAGCCUCCGCCUGCAGCUGCGGGACAACGCGCCCCUGGUCGACGCGGCCCUCGCUACGCACGUGCUGGACCUGAGGCGGAUCUCCCAUCCGGGCCGCGCGGCGGGGUUUAACCCUACCUUCGGCCCGGCCUGGGUGCCCCUCUAUGGCUCGCCCCCCGGCGCGGGGCUCCGGGAUGGUCUUCAAGGUCUCAACGAAGGCGUUGGCCAAGGCAUUUGGUUCCGCGGCCGCCUUCUGCUGGCUGUGUCCAUGCAGGUGUUGGAAGGGAGAGCUGAACCUGAGCCUCCCCAGGCCCAGCAGGGGUCCACGUUGUCCCGGCUCACCCGAAA
rnacentral:sRNA from 1 species